rnacentral:lncRNA from 13 species
AUGGAUCACCUGAGAUUGUUGGCAACACCCACAGCUUCCAAAGAAACAGCUCAUAAAGAUUGGAAAUGUGAUUAUAUGGUAAGUAGGAGAACUGAAUUGUUCAGUCAAAUCUCAUCUAAAUACCUCAUGCCUUUCUUUGUCAUUUUUAUGUCUCAGAUAUUAUUGGGGCAUAAGUCAACCAGAGUAAAAUUUGGUUAAGUCCACAGUCAACCAGCUGUCAAACAAGCAGUGUUACUGAUGUUUAAGAUGGUAUUAAUUAGGCUUCACAUCUUUCUGAAAAAAGGCUUCUCUACAUCUUUUAAAUCACACUAAAAUAUUGAUUCGAUGUUAAGUUCCUUAACAAAUCAAGUUGAAGCAAUAAUGUAAUUCAGUAACCAUUUAUGAGCACUUACAAUGUUUGAAGCAUUAAUUGAAUUAUUUUAAUUAAUCCAUACUUGUGUGUAAUUGAGGCUUAGAGAAGGCAAUCACUUGUUCAAGAUCACAGGGCCUGAGUCUCAACCAGAUGCAUCUGAUGUCAGAGAUCUUCAUCUAACAUCUAAGUUCUAUAUGAUAAUGCUUCCCAAUAUUUUAUGAAAAAAUUAGAGUUGGGGGGUUAAUUUCUUGGUGAACUUAAAGAUGUGCCCAAGUGAUUAGUAUGCAAUUGAACAAAGUUCUUUUCUUAAAAUAUACAAAAUAAUAAUCUUUGUCAUGGAUCAAUCACAAAAAUACUCUGCUGUCAUCUGCACAUUAUUAACAUAUGUAUAACAUCCUCAGGGUGGAGUCAGAUCAAUGUAAAGUGCCUGCUGACAGUUGAGUGCACAUCUAGGGAGAGACUGUACACUGUAAAGGAACGCUGGCUUAUCCUCAUGACUGAAAUGAGGAGUAUUCUCUUAGAGUGCACUCUUGGAAUAGUGAGAACAUUCUACUCUAGCCUGUACCCAAUAUUCCUAGAGAAUAUUGGAAAUAAUCUAAUCCAGCCUGUAACCCUUGGCUACAGGCUAUUUCCCAAUAUUUCUUAGCUUAAUGGAGACAUACCUGACUCAGGUUGUUUAUGAGAUGAGGAAUGAGGAAUCCAAGUGUUUUUCAUGUCUACAGUAAAAUCUUAUCAACCCCCUUCUCUCCACAGUAUCCUCAAUUCUACCUCAGCCCCACAUGCACCUUGCAGAAAAGCAGCAAGUAGUGGUGGUUCAGCUUAGGAAAAAAAUUGCAAAAUAACAUUUUUUUUUAAUCUGUGCAAUAGUUUGUCAUUAAAUGACCUGUAUGCUAGUCCAGCUGUGUGAUUUGAACUUUACUGGGAUCCUUUGUAUGCGAUAUCCUUAUCUGUUAAGUGGAAAAUUUAGACUCUAAAGAUGACCUCCACAUUCCCUUCCUGGUUGGAAGUUGUACAUUGGAAAUGUGAGAACUAUAAGCAGAUCCAGUCCACAGACAUAUUUCCUUUGGCUUUCAAGAUGUUUGUUUUAAAUUAAGCCCACAUUUUAAAGCCAACCUGUUUUACUAUUUGUAAAAAUCCAGCUUUUUUGAAAAAUAAAAGAUACAGAGCUCUGGUCCUAUUUUCUUUA